CACCUCUCCACUGAGACUUCAUAUCAGACCACUACGCUGAUAUUAGGGUGAUAGGAGUCAAGAGCAGGAAACAGCAACUGUCCUAGAUAUUUUGGAAAGAAGCAUGUGUGCCAGAGGCUGAGAAAUAAAUCUAACAUUCGCGAGCUUGCCGACUUGGUAACAGAUCUAGUGCUGUGCUGUAAUAUCCUUUCCAAGGUGAAGGAGAAGUUGCUACUUCUGACUACACUAACUACAAAAAAAAAAGAUGAACAUAACACCUAGUGAACCUCUUUGAGAUUUGAAAGCCACAUAUCCCCAUUUUUGGAGUACUAGGAAAGAGUGCGAGUUUCAAGUGGGACUUCAAGCAAGAGAAGGCUUUGUCACAGGUCCGAGUUGCUAUGUAAGCUGCUCUUAAACUUGGGCUGUAUGACCCAGCUGGCUCAAUGAUUCUUGAAAUGUCUGUGGCAGAUAGGUAUGUGUAUGGAACUUUUGUAAAGCACCUAUAGCUGAAGCACUAUAUGGACUUAAUAUUGUAGAACCAAGCCAUGCCAUCUUCUGUAGAUAAUUAUCCUACUUUUGAGAAGCAACAUCUAGACUAGUAGACUGAACAUUUGCCCUUGGAUUCCUGUUUCCCUGUAGCCUUAGAUGCCACAGUGAACUGAGCAUUGUGUGAUCCAUCAAGCCAGAAAGCUGUGUGUACAUAAUAGAGUUCUAUCAUAAAGCUGAAGGGGUAUAUUUAAGACUGGGUCUGAACAGUCACUGAAGGCAUUUAAGUAAGUUGCAUGAGAAAAUAACAGAUUCCCAUGGCUCUUAAUCUUGCUACAUUGCCAUGAUGGUUAAUAUUGAGUAUCAACUUGAUGGAAUUGAAGGAUGCAAAGUGUUGUUCCUGGGUGUGCCUGUGAGAUUGUUGCCAAAGGAGAUUAACAUUUGACUCGGUGGAUUGGGAAAGGCAGACCCACCCUCAAUCUUGAGUGGGCAUAAUCUAAUUGGCUGCUAGUGUGGCCAGAAUAAAAGUAGCAGAAGAAUGUGAAAAGACUAGACUGGCUUAGUCUUCCAGCCUACAUCUUUCUCCCGUGCUGGGUGCUUCCUGCCCUCAAACAUUGGACUCCAAGUUCUUCAGUUUGGGGAAUUGAACUAGCUUCCUUCCUCCUCAGCUUGCAGACAGCCUACUGUGGGACCUCACCUCAUGAUCAUACUCCUUCUACAUCUGUUGUUCAAGGUUCAGACUCAAUAUGCAACUAAUUUAUGAAGCCCGUUUAGACCACAACAACCCUGAUGCAAGAUGUUCUCCACUAUGUUAAGAUGCAGCAUGAAGCCCUUACCAGAAGCUAAGAGUAUUCCGUUAGAGCAACACAAAACAGACUAAGACAACUUGUUCAUUACUGAUGUACAGAUUUCACUGACCAGCAACACUCCAGUGAAACUGCAGUCAAAAUUUAUGGAGUCUGCAGUAAAUAUGAAGCUAAAGUAACAGGCAAUGAAGAGCUCACCUGCUGCCUCCAGGGCUGCUUAACAUGCUGCAACCAGGCUGAAUGGUGCAUAUUGGACUGGAACCUGGAUCCUUGAGUAAAUGAAAGGAGAAAAGCCCCUAUCCAGUAUAUCAGAUUUGUGUAAACCAAAAAAUAAACUUUCAAUAUGGUAACUAAACUGGAAUAACGCAUAUGACGGGGGAGAGUUCCCUGACCCUCUUGCGAGUCUUGCCACAGGGAGGGUGUGGAGGGUUGGUGGUAGCUUGUUUUGCUUUGUUGCUGAACUCAAGCCCCUUGCAGGAGUGGGAGCAUGCAGCACUCUCCAGGAAAAGCUGCCUGCUAGAUAACAUGAAGACACGCCAGCAGCCUCAUGGGGGUGGAGGGAAGAGAGGCCUCAUGGUGAGGGACUGAGGCCUCCUACUAAAAGCCAGCACUAACUUGUCAGGCAUGAAAGUGAGCCACCUGGAAGCACAUCUUCAGCCCCUGUGGACCCUUUAGAUGACUGCAGGCCCUGCUGACAUCUUGACUGAAACCUCAUGAGACAGCUAGAACCAGAAUCGCCCAGAGAGAAGAACAUCAAAGGUGCGGGUUUAGGGCCCAGAAAGCCACUGGCCCCUUAAUAUCCAGAAAAGGACAAAAACUCACGGGAGUCAAGCACUGUUUGCCUGGAAGAAGAAAGAUAAAGACACAGACAAGCCCUGCUCCCCCACCAGCCAAAACUACUAUUCUACCUGUUUCCUGAUUCUGACCCACGUAUAUUCACUUGUUUCAUCAUUUUCUCAUUCAAAAAUAUAUUCAUUCAAUUAAUAAUGAUUUACUGAGUGUGUAUUAUGUAGCCAGUGCUUGCAUGGAACUCAGAUUACAGCUGGAAAUGAAACAGAUCUGGUCUUACACCCUCUGUACAUCUUCUUCCUCCUGUUACCACUCUAUCCUGUCUUCAACCUCAACUUCACUACUAAUUUCAUACUUAA
rnacentral:lncRNA from 10 species